rnacentral:rRNA from 1 species
AUUGAACGCUGGCGGCAGGCCUAACACAUGCAAGUCGAACGGUAACAGGAAGACGCUUGCUUCUUUGCUGACGAGUGGCGGACGGGUGAGUAAUGUCUGGGAAACUGCCUGAUGGAGGGGGAUAACUACUGGAAACGGUAGCUAAUACCGCACAACGUCGCAAAACCAAAGAGGGGGACCUUCGGGCCUCCUGCCAUCGGAUGUGCCCAGAUGGGAUUAGCUAGUAGGUGGGGUAACGGCUCACCUAGGCGACGAUCCCUAGCUGGUCUGAGAGGAUGACCAGCCACACUGGAACUGAGACACGGUCCAGACUCCUACGGGAGGCAGCAGUGGGGAAUAUUGCACAAUGGGCGCAAGCCUGAUGCAGCCAUGCCGCGUGUAUGAAGAAGGCCUUCGGGUUGUAAAGUACUUUCAGCGGGGAGGAAGGGAGUAAAGUUAAUACCUUUGCUCAUUGACGUUACCCGCAGAAGAAGCACCGGCUAACUCCGUG